rnacentral:misc_RNA from 1 species
GAUGAAGAACGUAGCGAAAUGCGAUAAGUAGUGUGAAUUGCAGAAUUCAGUGAAUCAUCGAAUCUUUGAACGCACAUUGUGCCCCUUGGUAUUCCAUGGGGCAUGCCUGUUCGAGCGUCAUUUGUACUCUCAAGCUCUGCUUGGUGUUGGGUGUUUGUCCCGCGUUGCGUGUGGACUCGCCUUAAAGCAAUUGGCAGCCGGCAUAUUGGCCUUGGAACGCAGCACAUUUUGCGAUCCUAGUCAUACUUGUUGGCAUCCAUCAAGCCUAUACAUUAACGCUUGACCUCGGAUCAGGUAGGGAUACCCGCUGAACUUAAGCAUAUCAAUAAGCGGAGGA